rnacentral:tRNA from 1 species
CGGGGAAUGGCUCAGUGGUAGAGUGCUCGCUUGGGGUGCGAGAGACCGCGGGUUCGAUUCCCGCUUCCCCGACCA